UGGUCACUCAUGUGGAGGGAGGACUCCGAAUCGGAAAGGGUCAAAUCCCUGCAAGACAGGGCAGAGAGGAAGAAAGGGACACAUACAGGAGAGGGGGAUGGGAGAAAGGUGAAGAGGAGAGAGGAACAGCGUGAGAAGACAAGGCGAGGUGGGAAGUGGGUAUGGAAAGAGGUAGGAGGGAGAAAAGAGGAUGAACAGGCAGGUAGGCAAGAAAGAAGGAUGAGAAACGGAAGUUGAGCAGGCCGUAAAUACAGGAUAAGAGAUGAGGCAGGAAUAGGGAAUGGGGACAGGUUGGGGAAGAGAUGGAGAGGAGAGUAAAAUCAGGGAAAAAGAAAGGCAAAAGGAG